UACGAAGGGGGCGAGCGUUGUUCGGAUUUACUGGGCGUAAAGGGCGCGUAGGCGGCCUGGCAAGUGGAAGGUGAAAUCCCUCGGCUUAACCGAGGAACUGCCCUCCAAACUGCUUGGCUUGAGUCCGGGAGAGGUGAGUGGAAUUCCCAGUGUAGCGGUGAAAUGCGUAGAUAUUGGGAGGAACACCGGUGGCGAAGGCGGCUCUCUGGACCGAUACUGACGCUGAGGCGCGAAAGCGUGGGGAGCAAACAGG
rnacentral:rRNA from 1 species